AGCAGCCGCGGUAAUUCCAGCUCCAAUAGCGUAUAUUAAAGUUGCUGCAGUUAAAAAGCUCGUAGUUGAAUUUCGGGAUUUAUCCGUCGGUCGGGCUUUUGGGUUUGUACUGGCGUGAUGGAUUCCUACCUUCUGAAUAACCGGCAUGUCAUUAAUUUGGUGCGCCGGGGAAGCAGGACUGUUACCUUGAAAAAAUUAGAGUGCUUAAAGCAGGCUUAUGCCUGAAUACAUUAGCAUGGAAUAAUGAAAUAGGACGGCAUGGUUCUAUUUUGUUGGUUUCUAGGAUUGACGUAAUGAUUAAUAGGGAUAGUUGGGGGCAUUAGUAUUCAAUUGUCAGAGGUGAAAUUCUUGGAUUUAUUGAAGACUAACUACUGCGAAAGCAUUUGCCAAGGAUGUUUUCAUUAAUCAAGAACGAAAGUUAGGGGAUCGAAGACGAUCAGAUACCGUCGUAGUCUUAACCAUAAACUAUGCCGACUAGGGAUCGGAUGAUGUUAAUUUUUAAUGA
rnacentral:rRNA from 1 species